GUGUAAUUUUACAUCAUUGUUACAAUUUUAUGCUAGUGUGAUGCAGAAUUUUCUCAGGAAGAUGAUGGUGGUCUCAGUUUUUCGUAAAAAUGAAUGUUGGGGUCAGGAAACAGGGUGGGAGUGAGGUGUGUGAAGUCGUCGGUUUGGGCAGACAACGAGGAUGGGGCGGGGCCAAGGGUGAAGGCUAUAGGAGUUGCCAACGAGUGAUUUCCUCCUGCCUGUAUGACGAUACCUUCUCUAUACUUGCCUUGGCCUGGAUAGCCUAUCCCCCACUUUCUCCAAGGCUACCCAGCUCUAAGGCCUCUCUACCGUACCACGCCUCAUCAACCUAGCAAUGCCGGGACUCAAGCGUCCUACGAGAAGCUCUCUAGCCGCCACGAUGUCUCUGCCGGCGCUCCUUCUGCUGCCCCUGCUGCUGGCCUGGGACACCACCUCAGUCAGCCGCGUGUGUGGGUCUGAGACUGGACACCGCCCCAUCCAACAACCCAACCCUGCUGCCGCUGCUGACCUGCUUCGGGCUAAAACAAAUGCCUGGAUGCGCUACUAUCUUAUCCCUCUGCCUGCAACGACAACCGCUGCUCCUGACCUGCUUUCGGCUACAAGAAAUCCCUGGAUACACCGCCAUCAUAUCCCUCAUCCUACAACGACAACCGCUGGUCCUGACUACUAUGACGACUCCGAUGACUGGGGUCUGUUACUGGUGGGGAACAUGGAGCUCCGUGAUGAGUGUCUUGUACGUGAUGGGGAAGGCAGGCCCCGCAUGGAUGCAAAAUGUCUAGCUAUGAAGAGGAGCCGCUUGAGACGACCGUACUUAUGGUAAAAGACCACACCGCUCCCGAGACGACCAGCCACACCACGUGACCACGCCAUCACGACCGCCACAUCCAGCCACACCCAAGACCACUAACUGCAGCCACACCCAACACCAAUUAAAUACCAGCCACACCACACCCACGACCACCAAUACCAGCCACACCACACCAUCACGACCACCAAUACCAGCCACACCACACCUUCACGACCACCAAUACCAACCCCACCCCACCCACGACCACCAAUACCAGCCACACCACACCUUCACGACCACCAAUACCAGCCACACCACACCUUCACGACCACCGUAUGUCCUCUGUUGGUUGUGGCAAAGAAAGUGCUUCUUCCAGGGGUUUCAAUGUGCAGUUCUAGCUGUGAGUUCACCUGUUGCCCAGUAGUUCCUUGUUGUCGUCGAAGAGGAUAUGCCACAACAAAGUUCAGCUCUUUAUAUUCACGUUCCGGAGCAGCGCAGGACGAGUCUUGGAGCGGCGCAGCGAACGGAACUUUCUUUGCUUGUAAUUUCAAUGUAGUGUUGCAACUUCAGUGACGAGGUAAAGAACUGAAGGCAGGACUAUACAGUGACUCCCCUUUAUUAUUUGCAUUGUAAAACUUGUUAGUUGUUUGCUAAUUAAUGAUGUGAUGUACUUAAUGCAUUCAUGUGUAGCCACUAUAAGUAUUGUCCUGUUGACACGCAUGUAUGGUCCAGGUAUAUAACAAAAACAAUAGAGAGAGUUGAUAAUGUUAACUGAUGGAUAAAUAUGAUAAAGGUAAUAACAACAACAACAACAAUAA